UACGUAGGGUGCAAGCGUUGUCCGGAAUUAUUGGGCGUAAAGAGCUCGUAGGCGGUUUGUCGCGUCUGCUGUGAAAACCCGAGGCUCAACCUCGGGGCCUGCAGUGGGUACGGGGCAGACUAGAGUGCGGUAGGGGGAGAUUGGAAUUCCUGGUGUAGCGGUGAAAUGCGCAGAUAUCAGGAGGAACACCGAUGGCGAAGGCAGGUCUCUGGGCCGAUACUGACGCUGAGGAGCGAAAGCGUGGGGAGCGAACAGG
rnacentral:rRNA from 1 species